CGGGGAGGUAGUGACGAAAAAUAACGAUACGGGACUCAUCCGAGGCCCCGUAAUCGGAAUGAGAACACUUUAAAUCCUUUAACGAGGACCAAUUGGAGGGCAAGUCUGGUGCCAGCAGCCGCGGUAAUUCCAGCUCCAAUAGCGUAUAUUAAAGUUGUUGCGGUUAAAAAGCUCGUAGUUGAAUCUGUGUGUCACAGUGUCGGUUCACCGCUCGCGGUGUUUAACUGGCAUUAUGUGGUACGUCCUACCGGUGGGCUUAGCUCCUCGCGGGCGGUCCAACUAAUCUCCCAUCGCGGUGCUCUUCACUGAGUGUCGAGGUGGGCCGGUACGUUUACUUUGAACAAAUUAGAGUGCUCAAAGCAGGCUACCUUUGCCUGAAUAUUGUGUGCAUGGAAUAAUGGAAUAGGACCUCGGUUCUAUUUUGUUGGUUUCCGGAACCCCGAGGUAAUGAUUAAGAGGGACAGAUGGGGGCAUUCGUAUUGCGACGUUAGAGGUGAAAUUCUUGGAUCGUCGCAAGACGGACAGAAGCGAAAGCAUUUGCCAAAAAUGUUUUCAUUAAUCAAGAACGAAAGUUAGAGGUUCGAAGGCGAUCAGAUACCGCCCUAGUUCUAACCAUAAACGAUGCCAGCUAGCGAUCCGUCGAAGUUCCUCCGAUGACUCGGCGGGCAGCUUCCGGGAAACCAAAGCUUUUGGGUUCCGGGGGAAGUAUGGUUGCAAAGCUGAAACUUAAAGGAAUUGACGGAAGGGCACCACCAGGAGUGGAGCCUGCGGCUUAAUUUGACUC
rnacentral:rRNA from 1 species